rnacentral:rRNA from 1 species
CAAUAGCGUAUAUUAAAGUUGUUGCGGUUAAAAAGCUCGUAGUUGGAGUUCUGCCAGGUGCCGCCUGUCCGCCCCAGUGGUGAGUACGUGGCGCGCAUUUGGCCCUUUCAAGGGGAGCGUAUCUGCACUUUAUUGUGUGGUGCGGGAUCCUUGACUUUUACUUUGAGGAAAUAGGAGUGUUCCAAGCAGGCUCUCGUCGUGCACAGCUCAGCAUGGAAUAAUAGCAUUGGACCUCGAUUCUAAGCUGUUGGUUGCCAGAAGCGAGGUAAUGAUGAAGAGGGAUAGUUGGGGGCAUUCGUAUUUAACUGUCAGAGGUGAAUUUCUUGGAUUUGUUAAAGACGGACUACUGCGAAAGCAUCUGCCAUGGAUGUUUUCAUUGA